GAAUCAAUUUGCGAUUGGGAGGCUUAAGUUUCUUUUUAUUCUAUAUACAUACAAAUAUAUUUACAACUAUUUCCCUCCCACUCACACGCUUACUCACGAUUUCAAAAAAUAGAGAAGCAGGAGUGGAAUUGAGAAGGUUCAGACGGUGUAGGAAGGCUUGUUCAUGUGUGAGAGGAAUGGGAUUACACGGCUGGGAGGAAUGAUUUAUUCGUGUGUCGGUGGGCUAUGAGAGGCAUGAGUCACGAUCGAAGCCGAGGGGGUUACGCGCGCAAGGCUGGUCAUGGUCGUGGCAUGGUUACUAGAGUCGGAUGGCUGGACUGCUCGCACGAUUUCGCAUGGGGGUCACAGAUAGGGCGUAGGCAAAAGUUGUGUUGGUGUCGCGGUUUAAUCGCAGGCGAGUGCCGCAGUUCGGUGGCAGGCGCGUGCCGCAAUUUGGUCGCAGGUGGAAGGUGAUGCUAGUUGGUGUCGCGGUUCAAUGGUAGGAGGAAGAGGGAGAUCGCUCGCCUCUCGCAAUUGCUAGAGGCUGCUAGCAUGUAGAUGGUCAGGGCUGGGGUCGGGUCCACUCGGCCGGAAGGAUGAUCGCACAUAAAAGACAGGACGGGAGGCGAGUGCCGAAGUCGAACAAGGCAGAUGGGAAUUCAAACUGCAGCUUCGCCGACAAGGAGAUGGUUGAAGUGGUUGUGCGCAAGCAGGCCUGUAAGAUCGGGAGCAAAAGUAGUGGUUUUGAUUUGCAGCAAAGGGAGUCGGAGGAGAAGACGGUUGAAUGGCAAAUGAUGAGGUGAGGUGUUGGUUUGGACGUGUGUAGAUUGAGGUUGUCGUUCAGAGAUGUGGAAAAGAGAUAGUAACUUCAAGUGGGAGCUGGGUUGUGUUGUUUGGGUUGGCGGUUCCGUGGAGAGAGGGACUGCAAAGGGUCGUCAGCAAGUGGGAACAUGUGGGCUUCGUGUAUUCGUACAGAGAGGAGGACGAGGCUACUGGUUCGGCAUGCUGAGGGAUCGAAAGAAGAAGAGGGGGCUGGGUCGCAUGCGAGGGAUCGAACAGAGGUUGACUCGCGUGGGUGAGGAACGGGGGAGAGAGGGAGGUUCAAACUCGGGGACUUGCGCGCAUGAGUUUGAUUGAAGCCACAGUGCACAAAGAGAAUGGGAAAUAGAAGAAUGGAGGCUGGUUCGGGCUGCUAAGUGCGAUGCAGAGAUAGCAAGGAGAAAAGUAAUGGCUGCACGACGACCUUACAUGUAUCGUCGUAGGGGACCUCAGGAUGAAAGGUUCCAUUUAUUUUAUGCUUUAAGUCUAAGGUUUGAAUUAGUAUCUGGGUAUGAUCAGUAUGUAAAGUUUAUGAAAUGUUGACUCAAAAGUUUUUAUUGGUGUUGAGAUGAUCUGAACUGUUUGGGAUUAUCUGUAUUUGAUGUUGUUUUAGUGGCUCUUUCUUAUUUAUGGAUGAUAUUUA